AUGUUUGACGACGAAAGGGAAUUCGCUAUGUGCGAGUACUGCGAAGAUGAGCGGGGUCUGUGUGACAGGCCUCACCUGGUAGAAGGUCGGCGCUUCAGCAUCAAGCUACAAGAGACCUUUGAUGUUGAAACGCUUAUCCCAUGCCAUGCAAAAUGUUAUGUCUUGGAGAAGAUGGGUUUUGAAGAUCAUGAAAGCAUGGAGACAAAGAUAAUUCAACUAAGGACCCAUCAUGGUUAUGAUUUUGCUGUAAAUCUAUACAAUUAUGUGAACUCAUCCAAUUUGGUUGCCAGAAUUGAGGAGCUCUUUGCAAGGCAUAUGAUUUUCAUGAGAGUAUGCUUCUCACCUUCGAUCUUGGUGAUCCUGACAUCGACGAAAAGAAUAUGA
rnacentral:rRNA from 1 species